UGAGGCCAAAUAUAUAAAAACAAACUUGAUUCGCUAACAAAACUGGGAGGGUUCAAGGACAAUUUAAAACAAGCCAAUCGGAGUUCAGCCUUAAGUCACGUGCUUUUCAAAAUUUUAUGGACCAACACACUCAUUUGUCCGGCGUCGCGCGCACACACAUGAACGGAACAUAGUUUUGAUUUUUUUUUAUUUCAAGUAAAUUAUUAAAAUAAAAAGAAUUUAAAGUAUUUCACUCCUGAGCGGUUAUAGACUUGGAGGAAACAACGUGCUGCCCGCUGUGAUGACCAGGAACAUGGAGUUGUUCUUGAAAUGGACCUCAUCAAUCUCUUUCCUGUUCUACAAAUCCCCCCUUUUGAUCAGACGCUGGUCUUGUCCAGGAUGCAUAUUGAGAGGAUCAUAUCGGCCCACAGUGGACAACAUGCAAGUCCUCAAGCUGAACUAGUGACACUACAUGCUGUAGCUUCCAGUUUCUCGAACAUCAUGUCCAAUUCUAUCCCAUGUCUUCACACAAGUCUGGACUCAGUGACUUAUUCCUCUUGUUCAACCAGGGCAAGUAGUGAGCCCUGAUACAUAAUGUUUGUUUAUUUCACCAUGGAUUAUCCAAUCAUAUGGACAUGUGCUGUUUUUUUCAAGAUUUCAUUACUUAUUUAUGAGUAUUGGACAAGGUAUUUGAUCUCUUCAAACUGUUUGUUUUUAACACUGAAUAUGUACGUGUUCUUGCUUUAGUCUGACAAUGAUAUAUUUUUGUGUCUUGAUUUACAAUGGACCUUAUUCUUUUAGUACUUAAUCAUAAGUUGUUGACAGUAAA